GAUGAACGCUGGCGGCGUGCCUAAUACAUGCAAGUCGAGCGAACGGACGAGAAGCUUGCUUCUCUGAUGUUAGCGGCGGACGGGUGAGUAACACGUGGAUAACCUACCUAUAAGACUGAGAUAACUUCGGGAAACCGGAGCUAAUACCGGAUAAUAUUUUGAACCGCAUGGUUCAAAAGUGAAAGACGGUCUUGCUGUCACUUAUAGAUGGAUCCGCGCUGCAUUAGCUAGUUGGUAAGGUAACGGCUUACCAAGGCAACGAUGCAUAGCCGACCUGAGAGGGUGAUCGGCCACACUGGAACUGAGACACGGUCCAGACUCCUACGGGAGGCAGCAGUAGGGAAUCUUCUGCAAAGGGCGAAAGCCUGACGGAGCAACGCCGCGUGAGUGAUGAAGGUCUUCGGAUCGUAAAACUCUGUUAUUAGGGAAGAACAUAUGUGUAAGUAACUGUGCACAUCUUGACGGUACCUAAUCAGAAAGCCACGGCUAACUACGUG
rnacentral:rRNA from 1 species